rnacentral:ncRNA from 1 species
UAAAAUGCAGUGACAGGGAGGAGUACCUGGCGGCGCAAAGCAAAGAGAGGAGAUGGCUGGUGAGAAUCUCCGUGAGCGUGCCUGCGGAAGUAGCCCUCGAGCAGUGGACUGAACAGAAAAAGCGGACAGCAAUGUUUUCCAAGUAGGCUCCAACGUAGUUCCCACGUUACCGGGAUGCCGUAUCGGAUGAAAAAAGUUAAAUCCUGUACGGAAUGAGCAGAAGUGUAUUCUUCUGGAAUUCAGGUGGUACCGUGGAUGGAAACAUUCUCCCUGAAC